rnacentral:antisense_RNA from 1 species
UGUAAGACAGCCACUCCACCCACUGCAGUCUACAAGGAAAGCCUCCGUAGCUCUG